UACGUAGGGUGCAAGCGUUGUCCGGAAUUAUUGGGCGUAAAGAGCUCGUAGGCGGUCUGUCGCGUCUGCUGUGAAAACUCAGGGCUUAACCCUGAGCUUGCAGUGGGUACGGGCAGACUAGAGUGCGGUAGGGGAGACUGGAAUUCCUGGUGUAGCGGUGAAAUGCGCAGAUAUCAAGGAGGAACACCGGUGGCGAAGGCGGGGUCUCUGGGCCGAUACUGACGCUGGAGGAGCGAAAAGCGUGGGGAGCGAACAGG
rnacentral:rRNA from 1 species